CAACGGCUACUCUUCUGCGUGUGACGCCUUCCUCACGCUCGCCGUCUCUCUCUCUCUCCUCCACGCCCUAAUCCUCUCUCCUUCUCACAUGCCGCCGCCGAUCUCCUUCCACGAAGCGCCGCCAGGUGCUACCUCCGCCGCGUCGCACUCGCGCUGCCGUCCCUCUGCCUCACCGAUCUCCCCGCCCCCGCUCACCUCACAACCACCUCCAUCCCGUGGUCGCCGACUCUCCCCCCUUCUUCGCGCCGGCCUCCCUCCGCCACCCACCUCACAACUACCUCCAGUACUCUGGCGUGCCGGUGCGGCUGCGGCAGGGAGGCGGCGGCUCGCGGGCUCGACCGGCCGGCGCUUCGUGCCGUGCGGCUGCGGCGAGCCGGCGAGUGGCAACUGCGGCGCGGCCGCGCGGCGCGACUCGUGAGGCAGCCAGGUAGGGGCGCACCGGCGGCAGCGCCACAGCGGCUCGGGCGGCGCUGCAGUGCCACGCAGGGCGCCGGCACGCCAUCUCGGCCACCUCCUCAGCACCUCCUCAGCAGGUUCAAAAAGUUGGGCCCACCACUGCACUCCGCGGUGGCCUACAUCGCCGACUCCCCUUCUCCACGCGCAAUGGCAGUCUGCAAUCGACAAGGUGUCUGGCUUCUGGAUCCGUUUGUCUCCGUUGAUCUCCACGGUGGUCCUCUUUGCGCCGGAUCGCACGACGCCGCACUGAUCCCAUUCCCCUCUUCAUAUGCCCCUGUUGUGAAGGUUUGGAUAUCAUGAAAGGUCCCAUAUUGGAGAUUACUACAUAUAGCAUACGGUGAACUUACCAAAUGAACAGAGGUAUUUAAGCUGCUCCUUUGCAGUUUAUUUUUAUACGGGUGUGCAAUCUGUGACUUUAACCACCAGGCAAUGCUUGCUCAUAGCAAAGAAGUUAAAAUUUGCUAAAUAAGGCUACAAAUCUGAUCAGGACUAUCAGAAUGUUGAGUUAAUUUAUUCUUAGUACUUUCAAUUAACCAUGUAUUAUUUAUCAAUAUUUAAAGAUCGCAUAAAACCUCUCCUGUUCUUGCCAUUUUUCAGUAUCUUUAUCAAUAUUGUGUUCUUCUAUGCGUGAUAUAAAUUUUGAAGUAUCCUGUACAUUUAUCCCCUCACCAGUGCUAGGAAAUUUUGGGUUCUACAUUCUUUAGUUUCAUACUAAAUUAUAUAUGCAUUUCAGCCAUCACUCUUUGUUUCUUAUGUCUUGGAAAAUAAAUAAGCUCAGGGCCUUGUCAUUUGUAUGGCAUUUUUUUUGUGGUAUGGCAGGUUGAUAUGAGAAGCUCAUAAGAAAGGCACAAACUUUGUCCUCAUUAAGGCGCGUUUACAUGAUAAAUAUUGUUCCCAUUGCUGGAUCACUAAACUUCAACAAACCGUGUUUAUUUUGGUCAUAGAUUCAGAAAAGAAAAUGAGUUUGAAUGAAUAUUGUUUACUUAAAUUGCUCCUAAGUUGGUUCAACCUUCUCAAAAAAGAUGUGAGGCAAUGACUCCAGUUUUUUAGUUCUGUAUACAGAAUGUAUUUGUCACCCUAGGAAUUAUUUGAGGGGCAAUAUUUUUAUGAAUCUUAAAGAUUGAAUUUCAAUCCAUCUGCCCUGGCUUGAAGGUAAACAUGAUUUUAUUUUAAGAUUGCAUUUUAGUUUACACUAGAUGUACAUUGUAGCUAGGUCUGUCGUUUUUAUUUGUGAAACUCAAUUGGUGUAACUGCUGUAAUUUAACUGCAGAUCUCAAAACCAUGUAUACCACAAUUGGUGCUAUUAAGUACUUCUGCAUCAAUAUUGAUUAUUGUUUGGUUUUUAUACAAUACAACUCUGUUAAUUAGUGUGGAAUCACUUCACCCAUAUACUUUUGGGAUUUAUUGGGAUCAAUUGUUUCCAGAGUGUGCAAGGGCUAUGUAUGGUGCUUCAGGGUGCUGGUAUAUUGUACACCCCAUGAUAAUUUGCCUAUACUUCCAUGAACAUCAGAAGUGUGUCAUGCAAGGCCAUGUUGGUGAUAGUUUGAGGGUGCUAUAUGCUCUCUUUUUUUUUGCAAAUCAUUUGAGAACUGCUUUUACCACAAUAUAUAUUGAUGUACUUUCAUUAACAAUGUAAAGAUAUUAUUCAUCAAAUGUAAAGAUAUUGAUGUGGUCCUACUCAAUGAAUUUCUGAUGUUUCUCUAACUCUUUUUUUGUAUGGAAAUAAUAAUGACACUUGGUUUCUUCUCCGUUGCAAUGAUUUAUUUCUUGCCAACAUAGAUUCUAUGUGCAUUAUUGUAAACUGGUGUUUAUUUUUCAUUUUUAACAUCAAUGAAAAUUUACAAUGAAGUUUGAUUUCUCUCUAAAAUAGAAAUGGACUGUCAUGUGUGUAUAUUGAGUCCGCACUGUAGAAUGUUAGACUCAAUCAAGGUUUUGUACCUCUAUCUGUGAGAUUGGCCUUAUGCUCUGGAGAUAAUUUGUUUCCUGUGUUUCAACAGUAAUUCACUAGGUUUAUCCCUUGAUGAACACAAUUUCUAUAUAUUAUGAAUACCGGAGGGGAAAUUUUGGACCAGACAUUUGAAGUUGAUUGCUCCUUUGAAGACUCAUGCUACAAAGCUAGGCAAUCAGGGGUUCCAAAAGAUGCACUCCAAAUGUUUUGCAGGAAAAUCUGUAGGAAGCUGGAAACAACAGUGCAAGCCCGGCUUUCUGUCGAUUGUUGCUGUACGUAGUAAGCAACGUUCAUGGUGUUUUUGUAGCUCAUGAUGUAAUUUAUGAAUGAUUAGUACUUUCUCUGCUACAUAUUUUGUCAAAAUAUAUGUCAUUAGAUUGGUAUCCAGUGAAUCUAUUAGGUUGUGUGAUCAGUGUAGAUAAAUUUGAAGUGUCGACUCUUUUCUGAAGUGAACAGUCCAUGUUGCAGCCUUCAGUGAUCCAAACUUCUGAAUCAGGAGUGUUUGAGAGGAGAGGAAAAGAGAAGAUUGAGAAGAUACGCAAAACGAGGUGAGCCAUUACCACAUGAUUAAUUGAGGUCUGGUCAUGUUUUUUAUUCAUCAUGAUCAAUGAAGAUAUCCAAUUAUUGAGGUUGGCCUUUUACAGCCCCAUUGUUUAGCUUAUUUGAGGAAUAAGCCAAACAUCUUACUUGCAAACGAAAAAUAAUUUGUGAAUAAAACUUUUAUAUACAUGUUCUUAAUGAUCUAAAAGCAAAGGCUGAAAAAUAAACUACGAUGAAAAAAAACUCAAAAUCGACUCCAAAUUUAAGGUUGAAAAUUUAAAUUCUGGCUAAUAAGCAUAAGCAUAAGCGAAAAGAUGAGGCCGUUAGAUUUAUACCGAUUUUUCACGAUUACAUAUCAUUGGCCAUGUUUGGUGUUGAAAAUUCACCAGUUUUAUAGUUUUGCAUGAAAGUCUAUAGGAAGCUGGAAACAACAGUGCAAGCCUGGCUUUCUGUCGAUUGUUGCUCUACGUGGUAAGCAACGUUCAUGGUGUUUUUGCAGCUCAUGAUUUGAUUUAUGAAUGAUUAGUACUUUCUCUGCUACAUAUUUUGUCAAAAUAUAUGUCAUUAGAUCGGUGUCCAGUGAAUCUAUUAGGUUGUGUGAUCACUGUAGAUAAAUUUGAAGUAUCGACUCUUUUCUGAAGUGAACAGUCCAUGUUGCAGCCUUCAGUGAUCCAAACUUCUGAAUCAGUGAGUUUCAGCUCUCUUUUACUUCUGAGCAUGAUGAAGGGCUUUAACUAUAUCAUCCUCUUAUUAUUCAGAUAUAGUAAUACGAUGUCUAACCCUAUCUUCCUUCUUUGUAUGAAGGGCAUGCAGUAUAUUCGUGUGUUCUUGAAAAAGUGUGUAAAACAUAUCCAUUCUAAAUUUUCUGGGGAAAGCUCCAUAGAUUUGAUUUUGAUCAGUUUGUAAACACUCUAGUUUAGAACUGGAACUAUUUCCUAAUCACCGAUAAUGCUCAACACCCUGCAUCUAAGUUUUUAUUUUGUAAGGCUCAACUACUUUUUUUGUUUUAUGGGAAGACAACUGGUGCGCAUUAAAAUAGACGAGUAAUUUUGCACUGAACAUCUGCACUCUACUAACCUAGUUAAAAUUUUGUAAAAUUACUUCCACAUUGCUGCAAAAGUGGAGGUGAAGGCUAUUAGAACUGUGUGGCCUGCCACUAGAAGGAAUUAUAAGGUUUCCUCUCUUCGUAUUAAUUAUCUGAAUGACAAUUUUUACUUCAUAGAUCACGACAAAUGGUAUGAGAUUAGGAGCAGAAGCUGACUCUGGUGUUGCAGCAGCCCCCUGGUUCGUGACAGGGAUGCUUAACAAUUGAAUAUCUUAUACUAAAUCAUGUAAUUUUUAAUGUCUGUGGUUUUACAACAACCUCUCCAACACCUUAAAAGAUGCUGGUUAGAAAUCAGACGAUCUUCAAAGUCAACCAUCCUAAAGUAACUUGGGACAGUAGGGAUGGGAGAGCUAUUAGCAUCUUAUUCUAUUGAAUCAAUGUUCCUAUUUUUUUACCGAGUUACCUAUUAAUGUUAGUUGGAUGCAGUAAUUAAAACUGUUUUUUUAUCAAAAAAUAUUGUUUUUAAUUAAUGUAUAGUACUGUAGCUCUGGUCAUGUUUUUUAUUCAUCAUGAUCAAUGAAGAUUUCCAUUUAUUGAGGUUAGCCUUUUACAUCCCAUUGUUUGGCUUAUUCUUAUUUGCAAACGAGAAAUAAUUUGUGAAUAAAACUUUUAUAUACAUGUUCCUAACGAUCUAAAAGCAAAGGCUAAAAAAUAAACUACGAUGAAAAAAACCACAAAAUCAACUCCAAAUUUAAGGUUGAAAAAUCAAAUUUUGGCUAAUAAGCAUAAGCAUAAGCAACAAGAUAAGGCCGUUAGAUUUAUACCGAUUUUUCAUGAUUACAUAUCAUUGGCCAUGUUUGGUGUUGAAAAUUCACCAGUUUUAUAGUUUUGUAGGUUUUGCAGGAAAAUCUAUAGGAAGCUGGAAACAACAGUGCAAGCCUAGCUUUCUGUCGAUUGUUGCUCUACGUGCCUUCAGUGAUCCAAACUUUAGAAUCAGUGAGUUUCAGCUCUCUUUUACUUUUGAGGAGAGGAAAAGAGAAGAUUGAGAAGGCACGCAAAACGAGGUCUUCACAUCCCUUGCCAACUCCUAUGCGGUUGCUCCUACCGUCUGCUAAAAAAAAUGAGUUCAAUGCUCUUGCUUUGCUUGAGAAUAGGAGGAUACAAAGAGAACAAGGAAGAGGAGGAACGCAUUAGAGGUUUUUGGUGCUCAAGGACUGCUCGAUGAAAUGUAUCUUGAGGGGCUCAUCCCAAGUAUUUGUCUCUUCUAUCGAUUGACAUGUAGUGAUUUAGUGCCUUCCUCUGGAUUGUGCACACAAGAACUGUUGGCCA